rnacentral:rRNA from 1 species
UGAGUGCGAGCGGCUACGGCCGCGAAGUGGGUGAUGUCAAGCUUCCAAGAAAAGCCCUAUACCCGUUAAGGCAUGAUGGCCUGUACCCGAAACCGACACAGGUGGGGUGGUAGAGAAUACCGAGGGGCGCGAGGUAACUCUCUCUAAGGAACUCGGCAAAAUGGCCCCGUAACUUCGGGAGAAGGGGUGCCACCGCAAGGUGGUCGCAGUGAAGAGGCCCAGGCGACUGUUUACCAAAAACGCAGGUCUCCGCUAAGUCGCAAGACGAUGUAUGGGGGCUGACGCCUGCCCAGUGCCGGAAGGUUAAGGAAGCUGGUCAGCGCAAGCGAAGCUAGCGACUGAAGCCCCGGUGAACGGCGGCCGUAACAAUAACGGUCCUAAGGUAGCGAAAUUCCUUGUCGGGUAAGUUCCGACCCGCACGAAAGGCGUAACGAUCUGGGCGCUGUCUCGGAGAGAGGCUCGGCGAAAUAGAAUUGUCUGUGAAGAUGCGGACUACGUGCACCCGGACAGAAAGACCCUAUGAAGCUUUACUGUAGCUUGGUAUUGUGCCCGGGCUCUGAAUGCGCAGGAUAGGUGGGAGGCUUUGAUCCAUGGCUUGCGGGUCAUGGUGAGCCAACGGUGAGAUACCACUCUUUCAGAGCUAGGGUUCUAACGGUCACCCGUCAUCCGGGGACCGGACAGUAUCAGGUGGGCAGUUUGACUGGGGCGGUCGCCUCCUAAAAGGUAACGGAGGCGCGCAAAGGUUUGCUCAGGCUGGUUGGAAAUCAGCCGACGAGUGCAAAAGCAGAAGCAAGCUUGACUGUGAGACCUACAAGUCGAACAGGGACGAAAGUCGGCUUUAGUGAUCCGACGGUUCUGAGUGGAAGGGCCGUCGCUCAACGGAUAAAAGUUACUCUAAGGAUAACAGGCUGAUCUCCCCCAAGAGUUCACAUCGACGGGGAGGUUUGGCACCUCGAUGUCGGCUCAUCGCAACCUGGGGCUGAAGUCGGUCCCAAGGGUUGGGCUGUUCGCCCAUUAAAGCGGUACGCGAGCUGGGUUCAGAACGUCGUGAGACAGUUCGGUCCAUAUCCGGUGCACGCGCAGGAACAUUGAGAGGAUUUCUCCCUAGUACGAGAGGACCGGGAGGAACGCACCUCUGGUGUGCCAGUUAUCGUGCCAACGGUAAACGCUGGGUAGCCAUGUGCGGAGUGGAUAACCGCUGAAAGCAUCUAAGUGGGAAGCCCACCUCAAGAUGAGUGUUCCCAUGGCAUAAGCCAGUAAGGUCACGGGAAGAACACCCGUUGAUAGGCUCUACGUGGAAGCCGGGUAACCGGUGAAGCGGAGGAGUACUAAUAGACCGAGGGCUUGACC